AAGCUUAGUUGCCAUCAUUAAGUUGGGCACUCUAAGUUGACUGCCGGUGACAAACCGGAGGAAGGUGGGGAUGACGUCAAAUCAUCAUGCCCCUUAUGACCUGGGCUACACACGUGCUACAAUGGACGGUACAACGAGAAGCGAACCUGCGAAGGCAAGCGGAUCUCUUAAAGCCGUUCUCAGUUCGGACUGUAGGCUGCAACUCGCCUACACGAAGCUGGAAUCGCUAGUAAUCGCGGAUCAGCACGCCGCGGUGAAUACGUUCCCGGGCCUUGUACACACCGCCCGUCACACCAUGAGAGUCUGUAACACCCAAAGCCGGUGGGAUAACCUUUAUAGGAGUCAGCCGUCUAAGGUAGGACAGAUGAUUAGGGUGAAGUCGUAACAAGGUAGCCGUAGGAGAACCUGCGGCUGGAUCACCUCCUUU
rnacentral:rRNA from 1 species